AACGAACGCUGGCGGCAUGCCUAACACAUGCAAGUCGAACGGGAUCCUAGCUUGCUAGGUGAGAGUGGCGGACGGGUGAGUAACACGUGGGAAUCUGCCUUUUGGUUCGGGAUAACCGCGGGAAACUGCGGCUAAUACCGAAUGCCCUCGAGAGAGGAAAGAUUUAUCGCCAGAAGAGGAGCCCGCGUCCGAUUAGGUAGUUGGUGGGGUAAAGGCCUACCAAGCCGACGAUCGGUAGCUGGUCUGAGAGGAUGAUCAGCCACACUGGGACUGAGAUACGGCCCAGACUCCUACGGGAGGCAGCAGUGGGGAAUAUUGGACAAUGGGGGCAACCCUGAUCCAGCAAUGCCGCGUGAGUGAAGAAGGCCUU
rnacentral:rRNA from 1 species